AUUGAACGCUGGCGGCAUGCUUUACACAUGCAAGUCGAACGGUAACAGCACUUCGGUGGCUGACGAGUGGCGCACGGGUGAGUAAUACAUCGGAACGUGCCUAGUAGUGGGGGAUAACUACUCGAAAGAGUAGCUAAUACCGCAUGAGAUCUAAGGAUGAAAGCAGGGGACCUUCGGGCCUUGCGCUACUAGAGCGGCUGAUGGCAGAUUAGGUAGUUGGUGGGAUAAAAGCUUACCAAGCCGACGAUCUGUAGCUGGUCUGAGAGGACGACCAGCCACACUGGGACUGAGACACGGCCCAGACUCCUACGGGAGGCAGCAGUGGGGAAUGUUGGACAAUGGGCGCAAGCCUGAUCCAGCAAUGCCGCGUGCAGGAUGAAGGCCUUCGGGUUGUAAACUGCUUUUGUACGGAACGAAAAGCCCUCUUCUAAUACAGGAGGGUCAUGACGGUACCGUAAGAAUAAGCACCGGCUAACUACGUG
rnacentral:rRNA from 1 species